GUCAGGAUGGCCGAGCGGUCUAAGGCGCCAGACUCAAGAACUGGAGGCGUGGGUUCAAAUCCCACUUCUGACA